CCAGACUCCUACGGGAGGCAGCAGUGGGGAAUAUUGGGCAAUGGGCGCAAGCCUGACCCAGCAACGCCGCGUGAAGGAAGAAGGCUUUCGGGUUGUAAACUUCUUUUAAGAGGGAAGAGAAGAAGACGGUACCUCUUGAAUAAGCUCCGGCUAACUACGUGCCAGCAGCCGCGGUAAUACGUAGGGAGCAAGCGUUAUCCGGAUUUACUGGGUGUAAAGGGCGCGUAGGCGGGAUGGCAAGUCAGAUGUGAAAUCCAAGGGCUCAACCCUUGAACUGCAUUUGAAACUGUCGUUCUUGAGUACUGGAGAGGUUGACGGAAUUCCUAGUGUAGCGGUGAAAUGCGUAGAUAUUAGGAGGAACACCAGUGGCGAAGGCGGUCAACUGGACAGCAACUGACGCUGAGGCGCGAAAGCGUGGGGAUCGAACAGGAUUAGAUACCCGUGUAUC
rnacentral:rRNA from 1 species